rnacentral:siRNA from 1 species
UUGCCGCUGAAUCGUUGUUGU